UUUUCUUUCUUUUUUUUUUUUCCUCUGCUUUUGAAACUUUGACUGGAAGAAGAGAAGUACAAGCAACAGAGAGAAAGAGAGAGAAGGACGAAGGGGCUUUGCUUGCAGGCUUGCAGCUCUUGGCCCUCUUUCUUUCUUUCUUUCUCUUUCCCCCUUCUUUCAGAUUUGGCCAGCUCUUGAUUCCAACUUUUUUAUUAUUAUAACAUAUAAUUGUUUAUUUAUAUACCAUAAUAUAACGUAUCAACUCUCGGAACAGCCACAAACAAAGACCAGUCAAUUGCUCCCUUCUCCUUUCUCUAGGCUGCUAAGCUAAUCACCCAAGUCACUGGCUUUCCUACCCCUAUCACCAGGUAGCUUUCUUCAAGAUCACUUUUUGCGCUUUGCAUUUGCUAAAUUUUCUCUUUCUAGAUCUUCCCGUUUUCUGGGUUCCAUUUUCUUGAGGGAUCUUUUUACCGCUCUAACAGUAGCAGAUCAACAGGUUUUUGCCUUUUUAUAAUUGAUUCGCUUCUGGGUUUGAUUUAUAAUUUUUUUUUCGCUUGCCUCUCUUGAUUUUAAAUUUAAUGGGAAUUGGAUUUUUAAUCUGCCUUAUUUUUUUUUUAAAAUAUAAAAUUCUUUUCUCAAACUUAUUUGAAUACAAAAAUUUUCUCGUGGGGUGCCUUAAAAUAAAGCAGUAAUUAAUUCUUUUUGGAAGUUGUUUUUAUUCAAAGUUUGUAAGAAUUUAGUUGAAUAAUCCAAUACUGUGUUAACUGUUGCUAUUUGAAGGGGAAAGGAAAAAAGGUGGCUCAGGCCAAAAACAGCAUACACUUGCACAACAUACACGGUAUAUUUAUUGUUGGCAUCAGUGGCAGACAUAUUUCUGGGCAUUCAUAUAUGUGUAUUAAUUAUGUCAACAACACGUGUCUUGACUGAUGGUUUAACUUGGAUUCACGAGAAAUAGCAUGUAAAUUUUGGGCACCUUCUUGUACUGUCUUAACUCGUGUGCAUGAACUUCGAUAAAAUGAAGCUCAAUUCACAUACACAUUUAUAUGAAAUCAUAAUGCUUCAUUCAAUCUCUAGCCUUUUGACCAGAAUCUUCCAGUCUGCAUUGUUGGUUUCAGCAUUUCAGUGGAACCUUACUCUUUUUCACCCACAAGCCACAAAAGUUCAAGAAGAAGGCUUAAUGUUUGAGGGGGAGAAAAGGGUCUUUCUUGUGUUGGCCACAACUCAUUAAACGUUAGUUUUGCAAUUGGUAUUGCCUAAAUGGUUCUUCAUUUUGCUAUUUCUGAAUUUGGAACAAUCUCGCAUUUAAAAUAUUAUCAGAUAUUUCAUCAUUUUGGACUGGUGAUUAUGCUUUAAAUUUUUUUUUGUCUGAGGAAGAUGUAUCUAAGCUUUAAUGUCUUCUACAGGUUUGUGGCUAGCGUUCAGGUUAAGUUGACCACAUUAUGGGUGAUCUUUAUAUAAAAGAAUCAAAUAAUAUUGACACCUAGUCAAGCCUGAUCAUUGUCUUGUCAUUGUAAAUUUGUAAUAAAAAAUAUGGGCUUACUCUGCAGUAAACAGCGUCGUUACAAUGAAGCAGAUGCUGAA
rnacentral:misc_RNA from 1 species